GAACUAUACAAUACCACAACCACCCCAUUUUAGAACGAACUUCAUACGAACCUGAAUUGUCCGAUUUCAAGGACUAAGCGAUAUCGUAUUAAGUCCAAAACUUGGUGGGUUUUGAGUCAAAUCCAAUCUCUAGAACUAUACAAUACACCAACCACCCCAUUUCAGAACGAACUUCGUACGAACCUGAAUUGUCCGAUUUCAAAGACGAAUCGAUAUCAGAUUGAGUCCAAAACUUGGGGAACAUUGUAAUAUUGUGGUAAGUGUCAUUUGGUGGGUUUUGAAUGAAAUCCAAUCUCUAGAACUAUACAAUACACCAACCACCCCCUUUCAGAACGAACUUCUUACGAACCAGAAUUGUCCGAUUUCAAGGACCAAUCGAUAUCGGAUUGAGUCCAAAACUUGGGGAACAUCGUAAUAUUGUGGGAGGAGUCAUUUGGUGGGUUUUGAGUGAAAUCCAAUCUCUAGAACUAUACAAUACACCAACCACUUCAUUUCAUAACGAACUUCGUACGAACCUGAAUUGUCAAAUUUCGUGGACCGAUCGAUAUCGGAUUG
rnacentral:lncRNA from 1 species